GGUUUGGGGUUUUUAUUACUGGUCUUUUGUUUCUCCUGCUAGAAUGAAGAGGAACAUGUGACAAAGGCAUAGUCGCAUACAUUGCUCAUCUGAAGGAAUACUACAUAAUGUCCUGAAAUUAAAGCAACAAUUAAUGUAAAACAGGCUACUCAGAACUUUUCAGACAAUCAGAAGUUUGACAUACCGGCUGUAGGAGGAAAUGGAACUUUCCUUUUGAAAUACUGAUCCAGUGAUUUUCACCAGCAGUCCUGAAAGGUUUGUGAGUCAUGCAAAGAAAGAUAAACACAGCUAUUCUGAAGACCUCAAGCAUGUCCAAAAAAUAGCCACUUACCCAUCUCUUUCCUCCACUACUGUCCACUCUUUUUAAGAGCUUGAAAAUUGUAUUUAAAAACGUGUGGCCAGUCAAAUUUCUCACUAGUCACCUUUG